UACGGAGACCUCGAGCGUUACUCGGAUUUACUGGGCGUAAAGGGUUCGUAGGCGGCCAGGUGUGUCGGGGGUGAAAUCUUGCAGCUUAACUGUAAAACUGCGCCCGAAACUACCUGGCUAGAGUCUUGGAGGGGUAAGCGGAAUUCCUGGUGUAGCGGUGAAAUGCGUAGAUAUGAGGAGGAACACCAACGGCGAAGGCAGCUUACUGGACAAGUACUGACACUGAGGAACGAAAGUAUGGGUAGCGAAAGGG
rnacentral:misc_RNA from 1 species